GAGGCGUAACAGCAGAGAAUGUUUUCGGUAUCACUCCUGCAUGACAAUGCCUAUUGAAACCGUUGUUCUCCUCUCACAUCCCUCAAGCAUUUUGUUCAAAGCUGCCCAGCUGAACCAGAGCUGUAGCGUUGUUCCAGCUUAGUAGAACUCUUCUAUUUUCUUAAACAGACAGACAUAAACCUAGAAUAAAAAAUACUUACACUUCGAUUUCUUUUAAUCUUUCCCCAGAUUUACGGGUAAAAUGUAUGUACCGAGAAGACCGAGGUGUUUCAGCUGCUGAGCAUGCUGGCACCCUCUCCCGAGCUGGAUCAAGGACUGUUCUCUGCAAACGAAGCAGAUGCAGCUUUGAAGCUGCUGCCUCCUGGAAGCAGAGCCUCAGAUGCUUGCUGCUACCACCUGCCCGUGCCCGGUACAGCUCGGUGCAUCCAAGUCUGUCCUCUUGCAGGUGAACAACUAAGAAGGGAAAAGUCUACAUACUGCAUCUGCAACCUAAUUAGUUUCCUUGUAAACAACUAAAGCAAAGGGAGCUUACAGUGCCUAAAAUGGAUUGUGUGUUUUUUGGUUCAAGAAGACUUACUGCAAGUUUUGGAAGGCCCCUUCCAUGCCAGACUAUUCUAUAACUCUAUUUCUGAAAAUCAGAAUCAAUUUCAUAAGUACUUUCAGGUAAGAACUUCCCCGACUGAAGAGUGUUUUGAUUUUUCCUUCAGGAUAGUUCCUGAAAUGGAACUAACCCAAUGACUUAGUUUCACUCUGUUUAUAGACUGGUUGACAGUUCUGCUAUCUGGUAGCUCUUGAAAUUCAGACUCUGUAUACUUAAUGUUUGGAUGAUUUGCAAUUAACUAUUGUCAUAGCCAAGGGCAGCCCACAUAAGAUCUUUGCAGACUGUGAUUGGUGGAUGGGUUUCAUGCUACUUCUUUCAUUCUAGGAUUACCUGGCCACAUUCUCAUCACACAUCCCUUUUUUUUUCCUUCUUUUUCUUAAGCAGUGGAGGGAAAAGGGGAAGGAUUUGUGGGUGGAUUAAAGCAUCUGACUCUGUUCAGCUAGGAUUCUUUUUCUUUAAAUGCGGAGUAUUUUGACAACAUUAUUUUGUAUUUUGUAUGUGAAACAUAGCUUCUUUAGGGCUUGUACUUAAACAGAAAUUGCCUGUUAGCCAAAAUAUUUACUAAUUUGGGCAUACAUACAUGUCAAUUAAGCUAAGUUUUCCUUAGAUUCCAGUUCAGGGUUGUUGGGUUUUUUGGGGGUAAAACUGAAUGUAAGGUGCAUUCCAUGUGCAAAAUCCUGCUGUCUCUUAAAGACUUGUACCUGCAAUGUCUUCUGUUGCUGAACAAAGACUGCAUUUCUAAGACUUGCUCCAUAGGUUACCUUCUCACUAGGUACAAAUAUAAAUAUUUAAAAUGUUCAUCUAAUCCCUGCUCUGCCUCUUUCCCUACUAAAUUGCCCUUUUCUUCUUCCUUGCUUUGAUUGUAUCUAUUCAUCACCUUGAAGGCCCUCAUUAGAAGCAUGGUCACACAACUGCAUUAAGAUAAGCAGAUGGCCAUCUUGAAACCUCCUGAACCUUCCUUUUUAGACUGAACAAUGCUAUUUCCAUCACCCUUUUUCGUGGCUAUCCUUUUGUAGGCUUUUGUCUUGUCCCGUCCUUUUUUCUGAACUGCUCUUUCUUACUACUUAAGGUUCAGCUGCCAGGCUGGAUGUAGUGCUCUUACAGAGACCUUAUUCUCUUGUUUUCCUUCGUGCUGAUUAUGAUAUGGGAAGACAAAACUUCUAUUUAUACAGCUCAGUUAGAUGCAUGCCUUCUUUGCAACAGCAUGGUAUUGUUGACUCCUGUUCAGCUUUGAUUCACCGUAAUAAUCCCCAGAUCCUAUUCAAAACAACUCUUACUUGCCUAGUCAUUCCCCAUUCUGUACUUUCCCAGGUGAUAUUUUCCCUUCUGAAGUGUAGGACUUAGCACCUGCCCUUGCUGAAUUGAUUUGAAGAGACCAGAGGAACAGUUUGAAGAUCCCAGAAUUCAAUCUGAAACCUUUUUCUCUGCUCUUGCCCACAGCACCUGAUCCCACAAGCAGAUUUCAGAUUUGUCAUCUAUCCUGUUACCUGGCCCAUCAAAUAACAGAAUGAUAUAGGGACAGGGCUUAACCCUUACAGAUUCACAAAUGAUAUGCCAUUCUAACUUGACAUCAAACCACUAACAGAUCUGUGAGCGAAGUUUUCCAAGAAGUUAUGCUUCUAUCUUCAUAUAGACUCAUCUACAGUAUUUCACUACUUUUCUUUUGAAAACAUAUUCUGAGGCAAUAAAGCUGUUAUCUGUGACCA
ensembl:lncRNA